UUCUAAUUCAGGUUCGGGACUAGGAGGAUUAGACUUGUGCAAUUUCUUUUUCCUUCUCAACGUCCUCUCAAAAUCACCGUCAAAGUCGAAGAUAUGCUCACGAACAGGUUGUGAGCUACGGGUCAUAAACUAGUACCUGCACACAAGAGCAACAAGGUUAGUAACCAACUCACUAAACUCGGCACAAGUAAGAAAUUAAGGUGCCUAUGCACGGCAUAAAAACAAACACACACACACGGUGCAAAAUUCAAAAACAAAACAGAAAAUGAAACAAUUCAAUUAAGACUCAGGACAAGGGAUUAGCAACUUUGCUAAUCCCCGGCAACGGCGCCAAAAUUUGAUGUGAAAAUUAUGUUGACACACAAAUUAAACCCUAUUUGUGACAAUUGUAGUAACGAUGUAAGUAGGGAUCGUUCUAACCGGGGAUUAACUAGGGGUACUAAUCACUUGAAAACUGAAUUAGAAAUGCAAAAACAAAGUUUAAAACACUAGAUUAGACUCAAAGAAUGCAAAACUAACGUUUAAAAUACUAAAACAAACCAAAAACUCAAAACAGCAACUAAAAGACUCAAAACUGCCUUAAAAACACUUUCUGGGCAGUUUUGAACACAAGCACCAAAUUGGACGAAUUUGGGUUUAACUUGUACCAAAACACUUAAAAACAUAAACCAACAUACUUUCUAACUAAUCUAGGACUUCAAAACAAAUGGGGAUUUGAUUUGGACGAAAAUAACUAAAUGGGCAGAUUGUGAAACAAAAACAGAUUGUAAGAUAAAAUUGUAAUGAAUCAAUGGAUGAUGGAAUAGCUAAGGGGUUCUUCUCCACACAUGAAAUAUAUGCAAUCUAAAUCGAUUUCCAGUUAUCAAUUCAAUAAGUUAUGAACCUCGACACUCCAAGUUAAUUAGGUCCGCUUAAAUUAACCUUCAGAUUUCCCUAGAAUCAUUGAAUUGGAUGAAUAUGCAUCGCAAACAAAUUAUUCCUAACAAGUUCUCUAUAUGAACAGCAUGAUAAAUAUACAAGUUAGAAUCAUUACGUUCUUUGGAAAUCAUAAGCAUCGACAAGGCAUUCGUAACUAUGAAAAGCAUGAUACUCUUGCCAGGAAUCUACUUAACACGAUCGUGACUAGCAACCUUCACUACUUGCGAAUAUAAAUUCAUAACGAUUAGAUGAAACAAACUUAUAUCCUAGCAUCAAAUUCAAGCAUGCAAAUUAAGCGUGCACUCUCAAUCAACAUACAAGAAUAAGUUCUAAAUCAAACGGUUAAGCAAAUUGUAUUCACGACUUAUGCAACGAUAACUGAAAGUAAUCAACUUAUUUCACAUAUAUAACCAUGGUUUUGAAUCCACCCUUAGCCAAAACGAAUUUAGCCAAUCAUACUUAAAGCAAAACAAAGAUUACAUGAAUUAGACAUUGAAAUAUAAGAUAGAAAACACCUAAAAUCGUUCAACAACUCAGAUUGAAAGGCCAAACUAUUGUAGAGAAUCUGUCCCCUUUGUUGCUUGCAGCAGAUUGUAUGGUGAUGCUUCUUGGAUUGUUUUGAUGACGUAGAAUGGAAUUUGGGGGGUGUAGAGGCACAACAAGGGGUGUAGGAUGAGUGUGGAUGAGUGUUUGAUGGGUGGAAGAUGGUGGAAAGCUCGGCAAGAACGGUGGAGGGGUGCGGCAGGUUGUAGAACUAGGUUUUCUGGAAUGUAGAAUGAAUAUGGCAGAUGGUGGUUCGGCCUAGGUGUUAUAAUGUGUAUAUAUAGGGAUCAAAAACCCUAGGGCAAUCAGAUUAGGGCCUCUAAAACCCAAAUCCAUCAGAAAUUAGGUUGAAACAAUCAGAUUUUUAGUAGGGAAAAGGCCUAGGGUGCGGCUGGUUUGCUAGGGUUAGAGAUGGGCCUUCUAGAAUGCCUUGCAAGGCAAGGAGAUCAGAUUUCUAAAGCCCUAGGUGCGACAAGGGUUAAGGGGGAAAGGCUAGGUCAUCUAAAAGCCCAAAGCCAAGAAUAGAAACUCUCGAAAAUGGAAACCUCCAAGAAUAGAAACUUCCAACUUUAGAAACUUUGGUUUCCAAUUCCGAAUUCUUUGUUCUUCACUUUCAUUUCUUCCUUUCUUAAGCUCCUUUGACCUUCAAACUCGUCAUUUCUUGUGCUCCAUAAGCAUACACAACAUUCCAGCUCAAUUUUGCUCUAAAAUGCUCCAUUUCGCACUUAUUUGCAUCAUUUGUCUCUAAACCUGAAAUUGCAUGAAACUGACUUUAAACAUUGAAAUAACUCAAGAAAAACAACAUAAAUGCAUGAGAACAGGCCCACUAAGUCGCAAAUAUGCUCCUAUCAAUAAAGACCACUUGCUUACCUACCCAAAGGCCAAGUGGUAUAGACUGACCAGCUACCCAGCCUAUAAAGUACUUUAUGAGUCAUCACCCUUCAAACCGCAUUCGGGCAAAGUUGUUGCUACAGGAGACCAAGUCGAGUUGUCUAUAUAAGAAGAAAGAGAAACCAGGAAUAAGGACACUCAAUCAAACAAACAAAUGCAAGCACAAACUCUGCUCAAAGCCAGAUUUGCCUUCAAAACGAAGCUGUAGUCAGCCCAAGCCUUCAUCCCUCUCGGGACAAGCCUUCAUCCCUCACGGAAUAAACCUUCACUCAAACCCUUGUAAUAGCUCUGCUACCUUGUUCAACCUUGAUGUAGUAUCGAUUCAUCUUUUGUAAUCUCUCUCUCUCUAAAGCUUUCAGACCCUUGAUAAACUACAAAGAUAGGAACCUGCAAGACGACCAGGCUUG
rnacentral:lncRNA from 1 species